AGAGUUUGAUCAUGGCUCAGGAUGAACGCUAGCUACAGGCUUAACACAUGCAAGUCGAGGGGCAGCAUGUUGGUUGCUUGCAACCAAUGAUGGCGACCGGCGCACGGGUGAGUAACGCGUAUCCAACCUACCCUUGUCCAUCGGAUAACCCGUCGAAAGGCGGCCUAACACGAUAUGCGGUUCACAGCAGGCAUCUAAGGUGAACGAAAUGUGAAGGAGAAGGAUGGGGAUGCGUCUGAUUAGCUUGGUUGGCGGGGUAACGCCACCAAGGCUACGAUCGAGUAGGGGUUCUGAGAGGAAGGUCCCCCANAUUGGAACUGAGACACGGUCCAAACUCCUACGGGAGGCA
rnacentral:rRNA from 1 species